GUCAAUUCUCAUCAAGCAUUUAAACUAUUAUUACCUUUACCUUCAUCUCCUAGACUUAAUUUCCCCUGUAUCAGCACCCACCCACCAUUUUCUGAUGUUUUAUAUUGGCUUCUUUCGCUUUCCAAGUCUUUUGACUUGGAUUUGGUCAAAGGAAAAGUAAGCCGUUGUUUUCACAAACGUUUAAAUGCAAAAUGCACAUUAAAAAUAAAUAACACCUGAACCUGAUGUUCAAGUACAUAAAAAUUGAAGCUGCAAACAAUUUCUGCAUUAUUACACAGGAUUUGAAUUGGGAAAUGUCCAAGUCUCUUCUUUUUCUGCACCUACGUAUUGUGACAACCCCAAAACUACUGCCAGGUUACUGCUAUGGGACUUCUGACCUUGUACUUGUCUGAAACCCAAUCUAUAGAUCCAAAAGAGCAACUCACCCUGGCAUCUCUUUCUCUCAACCCAACAAAAGUUACAGUGUAACUCAGUUCCUCUCCCAAUUUUUGGAAACUCAAAUUCUUAGGCUGAACAGUUGUUGAUACCCCAUUGGGUUCCUGGACUUGUACUGCGUAAGUACUCGGUGAUGUCCCUACAUUUGUCACGGUUCUCUUGUAUGUCUUGCUGAUAUUUUUAGCAUUACCUUCAAAAUUCACAGCAAAAGAAGGGUAAUUCAGGUCACCAGGCUGAAGAAGUGUAUUGUUAGGACAGCUGAAACUCUUCCUUGACACUAGAGCUACUUGAGAAGAUGUAUAAUUCAGGCUGCACAGAUAGAGUAGAUAGUCCGCUGUGGUGAUAUUGUAUAUUAGCCCUGGAUCAGAAGCACUCUCGGGGUUGACAUGCCCUGAACCGAAUGCGAAAGGUGUUGCUGAUGCAGAGUUAUUGGCUCCAAAAUCAGCAAUUGGAGCAUUGUUGUUGUCUAGAACAUAAGCUGAGGUCAUUAGUGCUGAUUUGAUUACUGCUGGGGACCAAUCUUUGUGGACUGACUUGAGUAGUGCAGCUACGCCACUAACAUGUGGGCAUGACAUUGAUGUUCCUGAAAUUAUAUUGAACGACACACUCCUCUUGUCGCUCUUGAGUAGAGAUGGGCUACUUAAAGGUGGCCAAGCGGCUAAAAUGUUCAACCCCGGUGCAGUUACAUCCGGCUUUAUCACAUCUGGUGCUACUGAACUAGGCCCUCUGGAUGAGAAUGCAGCCAUUGCUGGUGCACGAUUACCAUAUGUUGUUCCUCUGAAAGUAAUAGAAGCAGUAGGUCUUUUAGUUGAGUUGACAUACUUUUUUAUGGCUCUACCUGCUGAAGCUCCUAAAGAGGUGGCUGGCAAGACGUGGGCGUCAGCCAAAUGCUCUUCACCUUGACCCUCGGUGUUGAUUAGUAGCAUUCCUGCUCCUCCUGCCAAUUUCACUUGUUCUCCCUUGGCGGUUCGGCCGUUCAUUCCUCUCUCACAGACAACAAGUUUGCCUCUAACUAGCUUCUUGUUGAGAGAGCCGCUAAUGCAAUACCUAGCUGAUUGACCACCUGCAGUUCUUCCAUAUGCGAUUGGCAAUUUCUUGGUUGCUUUGCCAGAAUACAGAGAUGAUCCAGAAAAAGUUUGUCCAUUGCCAAGCUUGACAGUUGUUGAAAAGCUUCGAUCAGUGUAGCUAGCAGCAACUGUCAUGAUCCAUGGUGCGGUGUUGGCUACAGUUGAGCUAGAUGGACCAGAAUUGCCUGCAGAGCAAGAAACAAAAACCCCAUUUUGGGUUGCCCCAAAUGAGGCUGUAGCAAGGUCAUCAGAAUAAAACGGCUUUUCUCUUCCUCCCAAAGAGAGGGACAGCACAUCAACACCAUCCGCAACAGCUUGGUCCAUAGCCGCCAAUAAAUCAGUGUUGGCGCAACCUAAUGACCAACAGACCUUAUAGACUGCAAUUCUUGCUGUGUACUUCAUUCCAGCUGCUGCGCCAUUAGCCAAGCCAAAAAAGUUUGCUUGGUCUACAAGGUUUCCAGCAGCAGUUGAUGCAGUAUGUGUUCCAUGACCUUGAGAAUCCCGAGGGGAUCGGUAAUCAACAGUUUCAUUGAUUCUUCCUCUAAUGGACUCAUAACCUUUGAAGAAAGCUCUUGCACCAAUGAUUUUCUUGUUGCAAUUUGACGGUGAAAACUUUGUGCCACUCUCGCAUGCGCCUUUCCAUCUGGAUGGCACUGCAGAUAAGCCUGUGUCCUUGAAACUAACAUGCUCUGGCCAGAUUCCAGUAUCAAGAAUGCCAACUAUCACAUCCGAAGCCAAGUUUUGAGCAUUCCAAAGUCCUUUACCACUUUGCAGUCCAAGAAACUGAGGGGUGUGCGUGGUGUGGAGAGUUAGCAUUUCGUCAGGAAUUGCAGCGAGAAAACCAUUGAUUUUGCUCAAGGCUUCGACUUGUUCUUUAGAGAGCUUCGCAGCAAAACCAGAAAUUGCCGUUUCGUAGACAUAAAGGAGCUGGGGAGAAGCUGUUUCUUCUUCUUCUUCUUCUUGAGAUGAGAAUUCUGUGACAGAAUUGAUAAUUGCUUCAUACCAUUGUUUGGAACUUCCUGGAGAGUGAUACAAGGCAGGGAUCUUGGUUUUGUCCAUAUGAAUUACAUAUGUAUGUUUGUCAAUUAAAGCAGUGGACAGUGUAGCCGUUAAAGCUAGCAACAAUAAGCACAUCCUCAAGAUCAUGCUGGCUUGCUUUGUGCCUGAAUCCAAGAGAAGAAUGCAGCAGGAGCAGGAUGAAGAAUGAGCAGUAGUUGAAGAGUAUUUUAUAUUGGAAAUUGAAAUAAGAUCAUUGGGUGGCUUUAAUGUGUUGAUAGCAUAAAUUUGUUGUGCUCAAUCAAUUGCCGAUUAAUUAUCAUCUCCACUUUCCCUUUUUUUCUGUUGGAAAGUGCUCGCCUUGAAAUGGAUUCAAUUGGACAAAAGUGCGCGCCCAAGGCUAUGCAUAAACCUCCACGAGCUACAGAAAGGUGGG
rnacentral:misc_RNA from 1 species